rnacentral:rRNA from 1 species
UACAGAGGGUGCAAGCGUUAAUCGGAUUUACUGGGCGUAAAGGGCGCGUAGGUGGUUAUUUAAGUGAGAUGUGAAAGCCCCGGGCUCAACCUGGGAACUGCAUCUUAUACUGGGUAACUGGAGUACAUGAGAGGGUAGUGGAAUUUCCGGUGUAGCGGUGAAAUGCGUAGAUAUCGGAAGGAACACCAGUGGCGAAGGCGGCUUUCUGGACCAAUACUGACACUGAGGUGCGAAAGCGUGGAGAGCAAACAGG